rnacentral:ncRNA from 2 species
AAUAUCUAAAAAGCGCCAGAACUCUUUAGCGAGUUGACGAGGUUUGGGGAAUAUCGAAUUUUCGGCGGAUGCCCCAAAAGUGUUAAAUCUUCUUAACAUCAUCUUCAGGACAAAACCACCGGGUGACCGAUGGCACAAAUCCAUUCGAAGUCUUAUAAAU